UGUCACCUUUUCAUCCUUCAGCUCUCAGCCAGGCAUCUUUUUCUCAAGGCUGGCUAUUGUGCUGCCCUGGGGCCAGCUCAGCGUCCUUUGUGAAUCACUAAUACAGCCCUGUCUUCCUUUCCUUUAGAGCACCUCACUCACUCUGCAGCUAUACAUUCUCUAAUGGAUUAACUUACUGAUAUUUGUCUUUCCUUCUAUCCUGCAAGCCCCAUAAGAGCAGGGGCAGUCUAACAUGGCUGGCGCAGACGUUUCUAAUCACGGACCACUACUGUAAAUAUUCUCUAGUCCCGGCCAGUCUCCGAUCUGUGAAGCUAGUGUAUGAGCCUCAUCUGCUUUCUGGAACCCUGGUCCUCCACUUGUGUUCUUGCCUCCUCACUUGGGAUGCCAGCGGUAACGGGACUGGCUCCCCGUUCUGAUUCUGAACAAGGUUAUAGGCUAGAAUGGACUUCUCUGCCCAGACUGGAAGUGAACGAGGAGCAAGGGACUGGGAAGAGCAUCUCCAAACACACCCAGAACUGCCGUUGGGUUAUACGUGGACUCUUGGAAGAGAACAGCUACAGAUACAGUUGUGCAUGUUGCUGGCUUGAGACGAGACCAGAGCAUCUUUCCCCCCACCCCCCAAGCCUGCAGGGACAGUUAUAUGGAGAAUUUAAAGAAAAAAACAUCAGAUGAAGACUUGUAGCCAUAUUGAAGAAAAGAUGUUCUUGUCUGUGGCUGUAGGUAUCGUGUUCUAAAUUGCAUCAUUUUGGUGUCUUGUAUAUAAUAUAUCCCCCUUUCUCUUCGAAAA